AGUGAACGCUGGCGGUAGGCCUAACACAUGCAAGUCGAACGGCAGCACAGUAAGAGCUUGCUCUUCCGGGUGGCGAGUGGCGGACGGGUUAGGAAUACAUCGGAAUCUACUUUUUCGUGGGUUAUAACGUAGGUAAACUUACGCUCAUACCGCAUACGCCCUACGGGUGAAAUCCGGGUAUCUUCGGACCUUGCGCGAUUGAAUGCGCCGAUGUCGGAUUAGCUAGUUGGCGGGGUAACGGCCCACCAAGGCGACGAUCCGUAGCUGGUCUGAGCGGAUGAUAAGCCACACUGGAACUGAGACACGGUCCAGACGCCUACGGGAGGCAGCAGUGGGGAAUAUUGGACAAUGGGCGCAAGCCUGAUCCAGCCAUACCGCGUGAGUGAAGAAGGCCUUCGGGUUGUAAAGCCCUUUUGUGGGGAAAGAAAAGCAGCAGGAUAAUACCCCGCUGUUCUGACGGUACCCAAAGAAGAAGCACCGGCUAACUUCGUG
rnacentral:rRNA from 1 species